UGGGGGAUAUUGCACAAUGGGCGAAAGCCUGAUGCAGCGACGCCGCGUGGGGGAUGAAGGCCUUCGGGUUGUAAACUUCUUUUGCUCUGAACAAGGCAUGCCUUUGGGGUGUGUUGAGUGUAGGGGUUGAUUAGCGCCGGCUAACUCCGUGCCAGCAGCCGCGGUAAUACGUAGGGCGCGAGCGUUGUCCGGAAUUAUUGGGCGUAAAGGGCUUGUAGGUGGCUGGUUGCGUCUGUCGUGAAAGCUCAUGGCUUAACUGUGGGUUUGCGGUGGGUACGGGCUGGCUUGAGUGCAGUAGGGGAGGCUGGAAUUCCUGGUGUAGCGGUGGAAUGCGCAGAUAUCAGGAGGAAUACCGGUGGCGAAGGCGGGUCUCUGGGCUGUUACUGACGCUGAGGAGCGAAAGCGUGGGGAGCGAACAGG
rnacentral:rRNA from 1 species